AAGAUUUAUUUAAGCAUGAUGAUUGGGUUAAUACACAGUUAUGUGACAUGUGCCUCCCUCCAAACCUGUAUGUCAGCAUAUUACUUGCAUCACU
rnacentral:snoRNA from 1 species